CAUGGGUGGCCGCGAACAGCGGUGUUUCGUCGUCGAGUGUCUGGAACUCAAAACGGAUACUCGACUAACCGAACACCGCUAAGACUUCCAGGGCUUCAGAAAUAACUAAGGGAAAUGCACGAAUGGCCUGUCGUUCGGUUGGAUGAAUCCCACGAACUAGGGGAUUCAUCCGGUUACCAACUUCACUGUGGAUGGUUUCGCUUUUCGGGACUUUUGAGGCACGAACGGAGACCAACCGCAGGGCCAGAUCUCAUGGAACUAUUUUCGGCUACUUUACCCAUGCGGUCGGUCAAAACUUUACCUUCUCAUAACUCCCAAACCCCUAGUCUGAUCUGGGUGAUUUUUGGAUAUGUUCUUCACCCAGAUCAGGGCUACCAGGGGGUACCAUAUUUAAAGGUGUACCCCACAUAGUUGGGGUAAAUCCAAGAAUUGGGGAAAAGUGUGCACUGUAUAAUUAUGUUAACUGUUAAUCUAAGGGGAGGAGAUGUGUGGGAGUUAACAUUUAUGGGAUUGGUUACUGUGAUAAUUAUGGUGAGUCCCUCCCAUUGUUGCAAUCGGUUAACAAGUGCCACACGCCUCUAAGUGUGUGGGCUACUACAUGGGGGUAUUUUCGGUUCACGAACGGCCCGCAAAAAUGCCGUUCGUGAAACGAAAGAAAAA